rnacentral:lncRNA from 1 species
AAGCACAAAAACCCUAAUUUGAUCUGUCUAAAAGCACACCAUUAGAUCUCACUGCCUCAUUCCUGACGGCCGCUGGUAUUCAUUCACUCAGAUCUCCUCAGAUGCUAAUCUCUUUGAUUAUCAGGUAAAUAUCUAAAUUCUACUUAUGUUCAUAAAUCAAACAUACGUCUUUGUUUUUCUGUUCCUUUUCUGAGGUUAAUUAAAUUAAUUUCAUAUCCACAUUCGGUAGUCUUGUAGAAUUAUUCGAUCUCCAUUUUUAGAGAUGGCUGAAUUAGUGCACGAAUUUUUGUACAUCUAAACAAAUGAUAUUCUAUUGCAUUAAUCCCUUCUCCUUCAUGUUAAUCACUCCACAUUUUUAAAAAAUUCUAUUGGAUUGUCUUGCAUUCGAUUUUUUAAGUACAAUUAAUUUAUACCAAGAUAUUCUUUGUCGUGUUGAUUUUGUUUCUUUUUUUCUAAUUAAAUUUAAUAAUUAUCAAGAUGGUUUAGAGGAUCAAAUGACGAACCAAGUGUUAGCCAAGAAAAAUAGAAAUGAUAAUUUGGGUUGUUGUACUAGACUACAACACCUUCUGACGGAGCAAAUUUAUAAAACUGAGUGCACUAUAUUACCCUUUCUUCUAUCUGAAAGUAUUUCCAUUACAUAGUAAUUGAGAUUAUUUAUAUCUCCAAAGAGCAUUUAACUUAUCUAUUAGGCACAUGAACAUCAAUAGAUGAGAAUUAAGUAAUGACUAUAUCUUACAUACGUGAAGAUCUUGCUCCAAUAGAUGUAGCUAUACUGCAUAUGUUUUGAAAUGUAUGUGUGAAGAAAAUAAAGGAUUUGAUCUCUUUCUUGUGUGUACUCAAUUUUUAUUUGACAUGCAGUUGACAUAUUAAAAUCUUUAUACGAAAUGAUGAUAUCCAAGAAGUUGAAAAUGAGGUCGUUGUUUAUGGCAUUUCAAAUUCGCACAUUAGUUUCAGGUAAUAAGCGAAUGCAUUAUGUUUUCUUACAACUCUUGAAAUGAUAAUUUUUUUUGUACGAUUGUGCUAUGAUUUAAUUUAAACACAAGAUUUGACCUUAAUUGUUACAUAUUCGAUUGACAAAUGUCUUAAAUGACAAAAAUAAACUUAGGUUAUAAGUUUAGUUUCUUUUCUUCCCUAGAAAUUAUCAUAAUUCAAAUGGAGUACUGCGAGAAAGUAAAUAUAUAUCUCGUUUCAAAAAGUUUUGUUUUAGUUUAUUCCUAAAUGAAAAAUACUUUUGUUACUCUUAGAACUAUAAUUUCUCUGCUAGCCUAAAUUUUUCUCUUAAGCCAAACUAAGUAUGACGAGGGAAAUCAACAGAAAAGCAAGUGUUACAUAGUUGUACUACCAUCAUGCUCAAAGCGUUUGCUCUAAUUUUUGAAGUUUGCCAAAAAAAAAAAUCAGUUAUAUAAUCAAUGCACUAGGUGUGAAGAGAAAAGUGAGAAUUUUACUAAUUAAUGAAAAUAAUUAUUGUGCAAUACCUUCAACUUUGUUCCACAAAUUUUGAUAUACAUUUAAGCCUCCCGCUUUUGUCACUUUUUAGUAAUUUUACCUAAUGAGUAUCCUAUGAGAAAAUUAAAGAUUAAGUAAGAAGUAUGAAUGUGUUGAACUACUACCUGCAUAAAUGAAAAUGUUACUUUUUUACUUCUUUUAAGUGCUGCCUUUGACGUAAAUAUUACUCACUUUUACUUGCAUACAUGAAAAUGUAUAUUAAACUAUUACUCACUUUUACUUGCAUACAUGAAAAUGUUACUAAGAUUAUAUAGUGCAUUUGGAGGUGCUAAUGAUAUCAAAAACUGAUACAUUAUCUACAUUAUUUAAUACUGCAUUCAUACAGUGUUAAAGACGGGAAUCAUAAAGUUUUUAAUUUCAAUAACUGAUAAAAGAAUAAAUGCACAAAAAUAUAUGCUUCCUUCCUAUUGUAAAAGGACUAAAUAUCAUACUUUUGAUGGGACUGGGUUGAUCUCAGCAGCUAGGGCAAUACCAUGGUCCUAAACCACGAUGGGUCGGACACAUAGCAUGUGAAAUCCCUUGUCACAUUUAUAACACAGAAGUAUCUCUUCAUCCAGCUAGGGCAAUACCAGGGUCCAAAUGCUCAUGUGAAAUCCCUUAUCACAUUUAUAACACAGGCAGUUCUUAUUGUAUCCAAUGCAUUUGGACUUGUAUUAUCGUAAAGUGAAGUCAAUAGAUAGCGGAAAGAGAAAGCAAGAUCGAUAUAUCAAGUAGAAAUUAAGGAGUGUGUUAGUUAGAGAAUUGAAUGAAAAAAAUGAUUUGGAAAAAAUUAUACGUAUAUUUCUUCAAUUGUACGUGUGAAGGCUAAUUCAUAUAUAUGGCUAAGGUUGUAAAAUGAACCAAACGCUUCGGGUUUGAUUCGUACUCGCUAGACUAAAAGUUCAAUUUGAGCUCGACUCGGAAUAUAAACGAUUCAAAUAUGAGCACAUUUUAAAGUUCGAUAAAUUACUGGAACCUUAAUUUUCAAAUUACUAUUUUCUGUUGAUACUCAGAUCAUACUCACUUGAACCUUCAAACUACUCAGAUUCGAUUCGAGAUCAUGCUUGACUAGGUAGUUAAAUGAGUCUCAAUCAAAUCUUAUUUCAGACUCGAUAAAUUUUAUGAACCAAAUCUGAGUAACUCAAUACUUGGCUCGACUCGAUUCAUUUACAUCCUUAUAUAUGGCUUGCUAGAAAAAAUAAAAAAAUAAAAAAAUUAUGAAAUCAAAAUUAUUAUUUUAAUUUAUAUAGUUGAUUUAUUUCUUCUUAAAUAAAAUAUAAAUCAUACCAAUAACAAAACCAAAGACGAGCUAAAGAAAUGAUGAGAAAAAGGAGCCCUAUUAGGGUUGGAUAUUAGAGUUUUUAUUUAGAAAUUUAGGAGUGCUUAAAAUUAUUUUAUUGGUUGAUUUUUAAAAAUAUUUUGAUCAAUUGAAAAGUUUUAGUUAUUUUAUUGAUAUUGAAUUUUAAUACAAGUAACAUUUGGAUAUUAAUAUUGUGCAUGGUAAACUAAUUUAUAGGUAAUAGAUUUUCUAAUAAUUUUGUAUUCUACAUAAUAUGAAAAAAUAAAAAUAAAAUAGAAGAAAUUUAUUAGAUUAUUAUAUGUUUUAUUAAUUAUUUUUUAUUGUAGUGAUAUGAGAAGUUUAAAAGUAUUUAUUAGAUAAGCAGGCAAUUGCGACGGACAAAUUUGUCUCAAAUAAGCUUGUUUCAUCUCAAAUAAUGAUAUUUGUGAUGGACAAAAUAUGUUGCCACUACCGUCGCAUUAGGUCCCAUCACAAAUACUCCCUCCGUUCCAUGAUAAAAGUCCUUAUUACUAUUUUGGAUAGUCCCAUGUUAAAUGUCCACUUUCCUUUAAUAAUCAAACUUUUACACAUUUUUUCCUAUUAUACCCGUAGCAUUAAAUAUUUCAUAUUUUUCUUAUUCUAAUUCUCUUUCCAUAAUUAAUGACAUUAUUAUAGGCAAUUUUGUCAUUUCAUUCAUCUUCUUAAUAUGCGUGAAAAGUCCACCAGGACUUUUAUCCUGGGACGGAGGGAGUAAUAUUCUUCGCGUGUUGUCACAAAAUUGUCAUAUCUAAAUAUUUGCGAUGGGCAGUCCGUCCUAAAUAUUCAUAUCUACGACACGGCUGAACAAUCUGUUGCAAGGCCAUUUAUAAUAAUAUUGUUUGAGACGGACAUAUCCGUCCCAAAUAAUAUGUUGCAACAGAAUAUCAGAGACGGACAAAGUUGUCGUAGAUAUUUAUCCAUCGUUGAUAGGGAUGUCCAUCACACAAUUUUCUGGCCCAAACAAAAAUAUUUGAGAUAGAAAUUUCCGUAGCAAAUAAUAUUUUGUCCAUCCCUAAUGUUUGUUGUAAAUAACCUAUAUUUUUCACAUUUAUACAAUUUAAUUAAAUCUAAAAGCACAAAAUUAAUCAUUUUAAUUAAACAAAAUUUUGUCAAGUAACCUGUUUUCACAUUCAUAUAAUUAAAUUAAGCCUAAAAAUUCAAAAGAAUAUUAUACGAAUUAAAAUUAGGAUUAAUUACAUAUUUUAGUACAUUUUUAAAAAUAAUUUCAAUAAUGGUGCAUAGAUAAAAUAAUUACAAAAGUAAUAAAUUUUUCUAUAUUUAUUUAUAAAAUUAAUACAUUCGGGUAUCCUUUAAUCGUAGCCCACAAUUUUCUCCAUUAUCUCUUCCCGUUAAUUAUUAUUUUCUUAUUCAAAUGUCAUACCAGUCCGACCCAGAGAAGACACCCCACUCCUCACACUACACCAAAAAUGGCCUCUAGUGAAGGACAAAUCCUUCACUAAAGGCUUUAUAUCUCUCACAAGUGAUUUAUUGCGAAGAAAUAUUUCCUUCACACGAGUGCUCGCAUUAGACCUUCUCGCAAUUGAGUAUCCUUCGCUAAGUAGUAACUAAAUAUUUUUUGUGAAGGAUAUAUUGUGAAUAACUUAUUCCUUCACAAAUUGUAUUUAGUCAUGGAAUAUUGUUAUUUAGUGAAAGAUUGGUUUCCUUCACAAAUAAUAUUUUAAGAAUGACUAUUUGAAAUUAGUGAAUAACUUGAUUCCCUCACAAAUAAUAUAUUGUGAAGAACAAAUUUAUUUAACGAGAGAAUAUUUUCCUUCACUAAUUAUAAAUUGAGAAUCUUUUUUCAAAUUAGUGAGAAAAAUUCCUUCACAAGUUAUAAAUUUGUAAAUAAAAAAUUAAUUGCUAUCAAAAUUCAUUAAAAAUUAUAAUUAAUUUUCAAAUCAAUGAUUUCAUAUUUAUUAUUAUUACUAUUAUUUUUAGUAAUUGCUAUAAUAAAUAUUAAAUUUAAUAUUUCAAGUUAAUAUAAAUAUCAUACCUAUUUCAAACUAAUUGAUAAACUAAUGCAUAAAGAGCCAAUAAUUAAAACUAAUACUCCAUAUAUAAAUAGAUAAUGCUCAAGUCACGAUAAGUACAAAAUUUGUUAUUAUGUCUUGAUCUCCCAAAGAUCAUAGUACUUACAAUAUUUAAUAACUAACACAAGAAAACUGAAAAAAUAACAACGAACUAGAUAGAAUGAAGUGUACAUCAUGUUAGGUCCAACGCAAAGAUGAAAUCUCCAAGGGCAGAUAAAGAUUUGUUUAUAUGUUGUGCUUCCUUAAGUCUGUCUCCAGUUGUCUCAGAACCAGUUUGGCCAUAUGCAAAUAUACAUACAUUGUAUCCAUCCAAUACCGACUGUAUCAAGGGUCGGGUAUCUGAAUAUACAUUCGCUGUCAACAUUCAAAAUAAUGAUUGUAAGUGAUGACACAUAUUUGUGUAAAUCUAAAUCUGAUAGCAAGCAUCAUAAUCAGUUUUGCACUAACUAUAAUAGAAGCAUAAACAAACCACAAAUGUAAAGAUUAAAAACCUUGAGUUGCAGCCGGAUCAUAGACCUUAUUGAACUUGAACGAGGGCUGAUUUUCUUUUCCUUGUUUGGAUGGAUUUGCAACUACUAGCUCCCCAUUUUCACCUACAUGUUCUACAAUCGACUGUUUUCCCUUUUGUCCACGAAGAAAUGGCCUUAUCCGACAAUACACUCAAUAUUUCCUAUUCAACAAAAUUCAAACAAGACAUAAAAACUUACUCAUAUACAAGCAUGAAAAAAGCUAAAAUAAGUAGUGGCACCUUUUAGAUCUUGGACCUCAUUAUGCAGCUUCCGAUUUUCAGCUAGGACAACAUAAUAGUUAUUUGCAGCAUUUUCUAAUACUUCAAUCUUUUUCCCUAAAAAACAAGUAAAUAUUAAUUCAUGAGAGCAUGUAUGAUAAAUAUUUUAGAAGUAAAAAAGAUUUUGCGGAAACAAAUCCGACCUAAAUGAUUAAACUCCUCAAGAUUAAACGGUAGCAGCUGUUAGACACUACUGAAGCGAUGCUUUCAAACAAAUAAAAAUUAUCACACGUUUGCUACACAUUAGACCAAGUAAACUAUAAUUGUGGCUAGAGAAAUGAACUCACAGAUGUUUCAUCAACCAAUAUAGAUGGUAACUUCUUUUUUGUCGCAAUAACAACACCAUUAGCAGCUGCACGCACCAGGUGAACAUGUGAGCAAUUGCAAUAACAACAUAAAAUAUAACUACAAAUUACAUCAACAGUAAUAAUGACGAUAAAUGAUUUUUAUACUUUGUAUAGAAUAAGAUAGCUACAUAAUGGGAGAUAUAAAGUACAUGCAUACUUUUAUUUUCAAUUAGAAAUGUAUGAAGUUAUGUAAAGCAUUCAAUUCUAAUUAAGUGUAAUGAUACACAUCUUGGCUUCUUCUUCUCUGAGGAUUGAGUUAUGCUAUUGAACAUAUAUACACUAGAUGAAUGACACAUGCUAUGUUUCUUCAUUCAGUUGAGCCUUUUCUUUUUUGAAAAAAUAGGCCCACUUAAGCAUUACUCAGAAUUUUGUUCUCAAACAAAUUACCCUCAAUUAGUUUGUUGCCUAAAAUAGUGGUCAAGAAUGGCUUGACCUACUAGUUUCCACUUUUCAUUUUAGCUUGAAAUUGAAAUUUCAUUUUAACUUGACAUACUCAAACACUCUAAUUAUGAUCACAUAUGCUAUAUAAAUCAAGCCCAAGCUUUAGUUUUGCUGAUACUGAUCUGUUGUGUUGUGAUGCGUUGCCUCUGUUAUGCUGCUGUUAUUGAUGGGCAUGAUGUCGCCCUGCUGCUGCUGCUGUUGCUUGCUGCUGUUGAUUGGCUGCUGCUUCUGCUGUUGUUGCUUGCUUUUGUCUGCUGGGUGAGUUGCUUUUGUUUUUGUUUCUACUGUUGUUGCUUGGUACUAUUGCCUUGCUAUUGCUGUUAAUUAAUUUUUGACAGCAGACAAAAAUUAAUAAUUAUAAAUAAAACCUCCACUUCCUAAGAGACAACAAACAUAUAUAUUCGCGUGUGCGUGAAAAAAUAUUCCUUAUCAUGAGAAGCACAUAAGUUUGUGCCCAAAAAUGAUCAACUUACCAUUUAGCCUUCGACUUAUGUGCAUCAAGAGUAGCAAUUCUUUCCAACUGAGGUGAAUUUAAUUGGCCAUAGAGUUUAGGAAUCUGCCAGACUGCUGCUCCAUAUGAUUCACCUUCAAUAACAAGACACAACUCCUGCAUUUAGACGACUGAACAUUUACUUAACUCCAGCUACCCUAUACAAUCUUGAGAUGUGAUAUUCCCUCUGCCCAAAUAUGAAGUCCACUUUCAAAAGAACAUGUAAUUUACAUAAGAGUUGACUUUUCAAAUUUAACCUUUUAGCUAAUCUAAAUAACGACAAUAAUAUCUAGAUAACUUAUAAACUUCAUCAAGUUUAAACUUUAAUCAUUAUAUCACUUCUAAGUCUGUAGAAAAUAGACUCUUAUUAAGGUGUAUAAAAAUGGAGAAAUGAGCUCUUAUGAAAUAGGACAUACUAAUAGUAUAUACUUGAGCUUAAACUUCAAAAAAAUACCACACUGACUGCAACGACCCCGCCCAAAUCAAGCCUAUAUCAAGUAUUGUUUCUAGAGUACCACUGGGUCAUCUUAACCAAGUCUACCUGAAAGGUCAUGAAGUUGGUACCCUUGGUAAUAACCUUAAGUCUUAUGUAUAAAGUCUAAUGUACAAGCUAGCACAUCCCACAUGUUUGGGUUAUCACAUUUACAUACACAAGUACACAUGCUUAUAAUGAUAAUAUAACAGAGAAUCAAUCCAAAGAGCUAUGUAUUAUCCACAUUGCAUUUUUCAAACUGAUACUAUGCUUAACAUGCCAACCAUUGAUUACAAUGCAAUACACCUAGCAAGCAAAACACACAAGCAUAGCAUAAGAGAUUAACACCUAUCACUUACCGGAAGAGAAGACGGUGGAGAAAAUGCGUUGAUCAAAAGUACAAAAAGUGAGAUCCCAGAUCUCGUUUGGAUGGGAAAACAGACCUUCACAUAUCAGUUUUGUACCGCCUGAAGAAAUCCUAAUCAAAUGCACCUAAGAAAAAUAAGUGUUCAUCAUAUUCAAUUGAAACUUGAAAAUAUACUCGAAUUGAAUUCAUUAUUCAUUAGAGGUAUAAGAAUCUAAAACAAACCUCAUGUUCUUCUUUGAGACAUGGUGGACAAACAAAUAUAAACACAAAAAAG